UUAAAUUGAAGAGUUUGAUCAUGGCUCAGAUUGAACGCUGGCGGCAGGCCUAACACAUGCAAGUCGAACGGUAACAGGAAGAAGCUUGCUUCUUUGCUGACGAGUGGCGGACGGGUGAGUAAUGUCUGGGAAACUGCCUGAUGGAGGGGGAUAACUACUGGAAACGGUAGCUAAUACCGCAUAACGUCGCAAGACCAAAGAGGGGGACCUUCGGGCCUCUUGCCAUCGGAUGUGCCCAGAUGGGAUUAGCUAGUAGG
rnacentral:rRNA from 1 species